AUUGAACGCUGGCGGCAUGCUUUACACAUGCAAGUCGAACGGUAACAGGUUAAGCUGACGAGUGGCGAACGGGUGAGUAAUGCAUCGGAACGUGCCCGGACGUGGGGGAUAACGCAGCGAAAGCUGCGCUAAUACCGCAUACGAUCUGAGGAUGAAAGCGGGGGACCGUAAGGCCUCGCGCGAUCGGAGCGGCCGAUGUCAGAUUAGGUGGUUGGUGGGGUAAAGGCUCACCAAGCCGACGAUCUGUAGCUGGUCUGAGAGGACGACCAGCCACACUGGGACUGAGACACGGCCCAGACUCCUACGGGAGGCAGCAGUGGGGAAUUUUGGACAAUGGGCGCAAGCCUGAUCCAGCAAUGCCGCGUGCAGGAAGAAGGCCUUCGGGUUGUAAACUGCUUUUGUACGGAGCGAAAAGGCUCUCUCUAAUACAGGGGGCUCAUGACGGUACCGUAAGAAUAAGCACCGGCUAACUACGUGCCAGCAGCCGCGGUAA
rnacentral:rRNA from 1 species